GCUGGGACAUCUGAUGGAGCGGGAUGGCUCUCUAUCCCGUCGAUCUGGGAGAACCUCGGAUAUCUUCGAGACUGCUAACGAGUCUACUGUUGUCCGAUACCUUAGGCACUGAUACUAUAGGUGGGAGUUAUCUGCUGUAGAAGCUCAGAUGGAGACUUUCCAUUGGUGAAGCCUGAUAGGAAUCUGAUUGCUAGAGAAGUCCGUCUGGGAUUCGCCUGAUGUGGAAGCUCGUCUGAAGAUGAUCCAUCGGAGAAGUUCAGUUUCAUGAAGGAUCUGGCGGAGGGUCGGUCGGCGAUGGACUUCAGAUGGCAUUGGGAAGGUUCGGCAGACGUCGGAGGCGAUCGAUCGUUGUAAGAAUCUAGCUGUCGGAGUCCAUCCGUCAUAGAAGCUCAUCCGAUUCCAUUCGCUAUGGAAGUUCGAUCGAGGUUUGGUUCUUGCAGAAGGCUGAAAGAAGACCGCUUAUUGUAGAAGCUCGAUUGAAGAUCGGUUGUCAUGGGAGCUAGGAGUAGCGAUCUGGCCGGUGGGUCUUGCCGCACUGUAGAAUCUCAUCUAAGAUCCGGCUACA
rnacentral:lncRNA from 1 species